rnacentral:lncRNA from 1 species
CCGAAACCAAGGAAACCACGCUUUCCUUGCGAUGUGACGGCUUUCCUUUAAACAGUUCUUCAUGCAUUCACAUUCUCUGCUUGCUGUCUUCACACAGUGGAACGCCCACCAGAGGAAUAGCUCCACACUUGACAAGGAGGACAGCAGUGGAGAACAAGACAGUCAGAUCCUUCCCUCUCCAAGGGUGCCUGGAGCCCCGAUUCCCAAAGCGAGGGAUGAGACAGUGGGACCUGAUCCCGCAGUGAGACAGGAACCCAAGCCUUAGGUGGGACAGCUCUCUGGAAGUGGGAAGCGGCCAGGUGUGGACCAAACACACUCCAGGAAGUCAGCGACGGCAGAGGUGACAUUGAUCUCAUGCUUUUUGGUAUGGAGUAUUCAAAAUAUUCAGAUGUCCUUCCACUCUCUUCCCCCAGUGCCC